rnacentral:rRNA from 1 species
GAUGAACGCUGGCGGCGUGCUUAACACAUGCAAGUCGAACGAAGCCCUUUAUUUUAUUUCCUUCGGGACUGAUUAUUUUUUGACUGCUUGCCGUACGGUUGAGUAACGCGUGGGUAACCUGCCUUAUUCAGGGGUAUUACAGUUGGACACGGCUGCUAAUACCGCAUAAUCGCCCGGCAUCGCAUGAUGCAGUUUGAAAAACUCCGGUGGUAUAAGAUGGCCCCGCGUUGGAUUAGCUAGUUGGUGAGGUAACGGCCCACCAAGGCGACGAUCCAUAGCCGACCGGAGAGGAUGACCGGCCACAGUGGGACUGAGACACGGCCCAGACUCCUACGGGAGGCAGCAGUGGGGAAUAUUGCACAAUGGGCGAAAGCCUGAUGCAGCGACGCCGCGUGAGCGAAGAAGGAUUUCGGGAUGUAAAGCUCUAUCAGCAGGGAAGAUAAUGACGGUACCGGAAGAAGAAGCACCGGCUAAAUACGUG